rnacentral:rRNA from 1 species
GACGAACGCUGGCGGCGUGCUUAACACAUGCAAGUCGAACGCUGAAGCACCAGCUUGCUGGUGUGGAUGAGUGGCGAACGGGUGAGUAAUACGUGAGUAACCUGCCCUUGACUCUGGGAUAAGCCCGGGAAACUGGGUCUAAUACUGGAUGCUACAUGUCACCGCAUGGUGGUGUGUGGAAAGGGUUUACUGGUCUUGGAUGGGCUCACGGCCUAUCAGCUUGUUGGUGAGGGAAUGGCUCACCAAGGCGACGACGGGUAGCCGGCCUGAGAGGGUGACCGGCCACACUGGGACUGAGACACGGCCCAGACGCCUACGGGAGGCAGCAGUGGGGAAUAUUGCACAAUGGGCGAAAGCCUGAUGCAGCGACGCCGCGUGAGGGAUGACGGCCUUCGGGUUGUAAACCUCUUUCAGCAGGGAAGAAGCCACAAGUGACGGUACCUGCAGAAGAAGCGCCGGCUAACUACGUG